GUUGUAUGGUUAAGUGACUAAGCGUACACGGUGGAUGCCUUGGCAGUCAGAGGCGAUGAAAGGCGUAAUAACUUGCGAUAAGCCCAGAUUAGGUAGUAAUAAACUUUUGAGUCUGGGAUUCCUGAAUGGGGAAACCCACUUGCAUAAGCAAGUAUCCUGUUGUGAAUACAUAGCAACAGGAGGCAAACCGGGGGAACUGAAACAUCUAAGUACCCCGAGGAAGAGAAAUCAACCGAGAUUCCGAAAGUAGCGGCGAGCGAAAUUGGAUUAGCCCUUAAGCUUUUAAUGAUGCAGGUGAAGAGUCUGGAAAGUCUCGCAAUAAAGGGUGAUAGCCCCGUAACCGACACAUCAUAAUCAGUGAAAACGAGUAGGGCGGGACACGUGAUAUCCUGUCUGA
rnacentral:rRNA from 1 species